UACGUAGGGUGCAAGCGUUAAUCGGAAUUACUGGGCGUAAAGCGUGCGCAGGCGGUGAUGUAAGACAGGGGUGAAAUCCCCGGGCUUAACCUGGGAACUGCAUUUGUGACUGCAUCGCUGGAGUGCGGCAGAGGGGGAUGGAAUUCCGCGUGUAGCAGUGAAAUGCGUAGAUAUCGGAAGGAACAUCAGUGGCGAAAGCGACUUCCUGGACCAAUACUGACGCUCAUGUGCGAAAGCGUGGGGAGCAAACAGG
rnacentral:rRNA from 1 species